UACGAAGGGGGCUAGCGUUGUUCGGAAUUACUGGGCGUAAAGGGCGCGCAGGCGGCUCUUCAAGUCAGAUGUGAAAGCCCCGGGCUCAACCUGGGAACUGCAUUUGAGACUGGAGAGCUUGAGUUCGGGAGAGGAUGGUGGAAUUCCCAGUGUAGAAGGUGAAAUUCGUAGAUAUUGGGAAGAACACCGGUGGCGAAGGCGGCCAUCUGGACCGAUACUGACGCGUGAGGCGACGAAAGCGUGGGGAGCCAAACAGGG
rnacentral:rRNA from 1 species